AGCGAACGCUGGCGGCAGGCUUAACACAUGCAAGUCGAGCGGGCAUCCUUGUGGUGUCAGCGGCAGACGGGUGAGUAACGCGUGGGAACGUGCCCUUCGGUUCGGAAUAACUCAGGGAAACUUGAGCUAAUACCGGAUACGCCCUUUUGGGGAAAGGUUUACUGCCGAAGGAUCGGCCCGCGUCUGAUUAGCUCGUUGGUGAGGUUAUGGCUCACCAAGGCGACGAUCAGUAGCUGGUCUGAGAGGAAGAUCAGCCACACUGGGACUGAGACACGGCCCAGACUCCUACGGGAAGCAGCAGUGGGGAAUAUUGGACAAUGGGGGCAACCCUGAUCCAGCCAUGCCGCGUGAGUGAUGACGGCCUUAGGGUUGUAAAGCUCUUUUCUCCGGGACGAUAAUGACGGUACCGGAGGAAUAAGCCCCGGCUAACUUCGUG
rnacentral:rRNA from 1 species